CGAGAGUCUCGGCCACGCCCUGUGGCGAGUGGGAGUUGGAUUUGCAAGCGAGUGUAGGAGGUUAGUGGUAGUUCAGCAUUAGCAUAUAGCAUUAGCAUAUCCUAGUCUUAGCAUAUCUUUUAGUGUUAUAAAUACUUAUUUAGUGUUAGCUUGGCUGUUGGAUAUUGUAGUUUAGUUAGUGUUUGGCUGUUAGUGUAAUUGGGAAAGUAUUUCGGGUUUAGUGUUCCAUAUCGUCUUAGUAUUGGUGAGAUGGUGUAAUGUAGUAUGCUUGCGGUGACUCUGUGGGCAUUUUACCCGCGAUUCUGCACGUCUCCGUUUGAAGAGGGAGGCUGCCCACCGUGGCUCUUCCGCGAUUUAGAUGCAGCCCACCGACUCUGCUCCCCCACCACGGCGGGCUCCAGUCUGAGGUGAGUAAGCUAAAUAAACGUUUUAACAUCUUCUAAAGACAAUUCCCUACCUAAAUGCAAAGUCUGAGAGACGUGGUUCACUUCCUUUAGCUAGUCAGUCGGCAAUUCUGCAACAGUGGCUCUAACUGACGCAGCACUUGACAGACAGCAUUACAGCGUGAAAUCCAGCUUGUGACCCGGUUCUGUGAGGAAUUCUGUUCAGGAGGUCGCAUUUCAGGCUCUCCACAUCAUAUGUGACUGACUUUUACGUUAUAACAACGAUCACACACUAGGAAUGUUAUAAAGCGCCUAUAUAGGAGAUUCUUUUGUAUAUUAUCUGACUUUAUAAACUCCCAACAACAAUGUGCUUCUAUUUUUUUUUUUCAGGCUAAAUCUACCCAAGACACUGGCUGUCAGACUGAUUUAGCUGCAAGAAUGCACUUGUCCAGGCUGACGUGAAGCUUUACCUGCGUAGCAAAGCCAGCCAGAAUGGAGUUCACAGCCGCAGUGUGUCUGGUGACCCACAGGGACCAUGAUGAAAAUUCAUCUUCCAGAAAGUCCCAGAGCGUCCAGACCCCCUGAAAAGACCAAGAUGUAAGGUGUCUGCUGUUGAUUCCAGCUUCCACCUCAGUGACAGUGCAAGCUCAGUGAACUGUUCAAGGAGGCUACUGAUUCUGGCCCUGUGACACUUGGUGGUGACGUGUGAGCUGAUUCACCUGGAAAAUAACUUUUACAUUAAAUAUUUUGUUUUUGCUAUCAAAAGUAAAUUAACUAAUAACCUGCAUUAUUGCAGGACACUCAGCAAAAUAUGGACUCUACACCAUGAGGCAUGCACAUGUUAAUAACUCUAUAACAGC